rnacentral:rRNA from 1 species
UCCGGUUGAUCCUGCCRGACCCGACUGCUAUCAGAGUGAGAUUAAGCCAUGCGAGUCAACGUAGCAAUACGUGGCACACGGCUCAGUAACACGUAGUCAACAUAACCAAAGGACGUGGAUAAACUCGGGAAACUGAGGCUAAACCGCGAUAGACCAAUAUACCUGGAAUGGUUUUUGAUUAAAAUCUAUACGGCCUUUGGAUUGGACUGCGGCCGAUCAGGCUGUUGGUGAGGUAAUGGCCCACCAAACCUGUUACCGGUACGGGCUUUGAGAGAAGGAGCCCGGAGAUGGGCACUGAGACAAGGGCCCAGGCCCUAUGGGGCGCAGCAGGCGCGAAACCUCUGCAAUAGGCGAAAGCCUGACAGGGUUACUCUGAGUGAUGCCCGCUAAGGGCAUCUUUUGGCACCUCUAAAAAUGGUGCAGGAUAAGGGGUGGGCAAGUCUGGUGUCAGCCGCCGCGGUAAUACCAGCACCCCGAGUAGUCGGGACGAUUAUUGGGCCUAAAGCAUCCGUAGCCGGUUCUGCAAGUCCUCCGUUAAAUCCACCUGCUCAACAGAUGGGCUGCGGGGGAUACUACAGCGCUAGGAGGCGGGAGAGGCAAACGGUACUCAGUGGGUAGGGGUAAAAUCCUUUGAUCUACUGAAGACCACCAGUGGCGAAGGCGGUUUGCCAGAACGCGCUCGACGGUGAGGGAUGAAAGCUGGGGGAGCAAACCGGAUUAGAUACCCGGGUAGUCCCAGCUGUAAACGAUGCAGACUCGGUGAUGGGUUGGCUUCGAGCCCAACCCAGUGCCCGCAGGGAAGCCGUUAAGUCUGCCGCCUGGGGGAGUACGGUCGCAAGACUGAAACUUAAAGGAAUUGGCGGGGGAGCACCCCAAGGGGGUGAAGCCUGCGGUUCAAUUGGAUUCAACGCCGGRA